GGGGAUUUAGCUCAGUGGCAUAAGUGCCUGCCUUGCAAGUAGGCAGUCAUGGGUUCAAUCCCCA
rnacentral:tRNA from 1 species